GAUGAACGCUGGCGGCGCGCCUAACACAUGCAAGUCGAACGGCACCCCUCCUCGGAGGGAAGCGAGUGGCGAACGGCUGAGUAACACGUGGAGAACCUGCCCCCUCCCCCGGGAUAGCCGCCCGAAAGGACGGGUAAUACCGGAUACCCCGGGGUGCCGCAUGGCACCCCGGCUAAAGCCCCGACGGGAGGGGAUGGCUCCGCGGCCCAUCAGGUAGACGGCGGGGUGACGGCCCACCGUGCCGACAACGGGUAGCCGGGUUGAGAGACCGACCGGCCAGAUGGGGAGAGAGACACGGCACAGACCCCGCGGGGGGGCGGCGGGGGGGAUUCUGGCGCAAGGGGGGAAACCCGGACGCAGCGCCGCCGCGGGGGGGACGGGGGCCUGGGGGUCGUAAACCUCUUUCAGAAGGGAAGGGUCAAGACUGUCCCUGAAGAAGAAGCCCCGGCUAACUACGGG
rnacentral:rRNA from 1 species